AACGAACGCUGGCGGCAUGCCUAACACAUGCAAGUCGAACGAGACCUUCGGGUCUAGUGGCGCACGGGUGCGUAACGCGUGGGAACCUGCCCUUAGGUUCGGAAUAACUCCCCGAAAGGGGUGCUAAUACCGGAUAAUGUCUUCGGACCAAAGAUUUAUCGCCUUUGGAUGGGCCCGCGUUGGAUUAGCUAGUCGGUAGGGUAAAAGCCUACCAAGGCGACGAUCCAUAGCUGGUCUGAGAGGAUGAUCAGCCACACUGGGACUGAGACACGGCCCAGACUCCUACGGGAGGCAGCAGUGGGGAAUAUUGGACAAGGGGCGAAAGCCUGAUCAAGCAAUGCCGCGUGAGUGAUGAAGGCCUUAGGGUUGUAAAGCUCUUUUACCCGGGAUGAUAAUGACAGUACCGGGAGAAUAAGCGCCGGCUAACUCCGUG
rnacentral:rRNA from 1 species